rnacentral:lncRNA from 11 species
AAAACAGCACUGUAGUUCAGUCAGGUUGCCGGGGCCAGAUGCUUUCCAAUGCUGCAUCCAGAAGCAGGUGGUAGCUUUUUUCAGCGGUGCAUUGAAAGAGGCAGGAUGAAGUACAAGAAGUACAUCACCAUUCUUGAAGCUGCAAUUGGGAUCACCCCCCUCAAUAAGAGGGAAUUGUUACCUGUGGUUCGACAUGCAAACCUUUGGCAGCAUCCAGGGGAACCACCAACAAUACCACCAUCUCCUUGCGAGUGGGACUGGGAACACAGCUAUAGAUCAAGCCCAAGACGCAUCACCGGAAAUAGACUGAGAAUACUGAAACGGGUCCGUUCUCACCAGGUACUUGUUAAGAUUAGUUUCAGUCAGUGUUCACCUUCUACAGUUAUUAUACCAUGUUUAAGCCUAUCUAAAAUCCUGUCUAGAUGUGAAACUUUGUUUUCAAAACACAUGGUACCAUACACUGCAAUCCUCAAAAAAUUCUAGAUAUUGUAGCAUUGUAAUGAAGUGCAGAAACCAUUCUAUUGAUAUAUUACCGCAUUAAAGGGAAGCCUUCAAAGAAUGAAUGAAGCACAAUGGUCUUACUCUGUUGGAUGUUCCAUCUUGGUAGAGUUACUGGAUCUCUGCUCCAAUUCCCCAGGUUUCACAGAUAAUUUCUGGGAAACAAACAGAGUUUCAAAUUCUAGUUUUCAUCAGGUGGGCCAUAGACAAGAAACAUGAUGGUAUUAAAACCUUUUGUCAGGCUGGCAACAGUCUGCCUGUGUAGAUUGCUGCACUUCACAAAAUUUAAUCAAUGCAAUUCAAGUUUUACUAUGUACGAAAUCAGUUAAAUUUGAGCAAGAAAAAAAACCUGUUCAUUUGCAUGUCCAUUUGUUUACAAGCCAUGAGCAAAUGGUUGCUACUUGGUGUAUAACGCUUAAUGAUAUCACCAUUCCCUGUCUCAAUGACAUACUAAAGCCAUCCCUAAGUGUCAGGUUUUGACCUGGCAGUCUCAGGGCCUUGGAUGAUCCAUACCUAGCAAACCUCCAUGUUGAGCAAAACGAUCCAAACUAUAGAGUCAUAGACCUGGAAAAGAACACAAAGGCCAUUCAGUCCACUUCCCUCCUAUGCAGAUGGCCAUGUGAACUCCUUUUUAAAAAUCUCAAGGGAAGGAGAUUCUACCACACUCUGAAGCAACAUAUUCCUCUGUUGAACACCUCUUAUUAUCAAGGUGUUCCUUCUAACAUUUAAGUGGAAUCUCUUUUCCUGUAGUUUAAAUCCAUUGCUCCAUGUCCUAUGCUCUGGUGCAGCAAAAAAAAAAAAACCAAGCUUGCUCCAUCUUCAAUAUGACAUCCUUUCAAGUAUUCAAACAUGGCUGUCAUGUCACUUCUUUACCUUCUCUUCCCAAGGCAAAACAUGCCCAGCUCUCUAAACUGCUUCUCAGAGGGCAUAGUCUCCAAACCUUUUACCAUUUUAGAGGUCCUCCCCGAGACACGGUCCAGCUUGUCAAUAUCCUUCUUGAAUGGUGGUG